CUCUUAUGGAGAGUUUGAUCCUGGCUCAGGACGAACGCUGGCGGCAUGCCUAAUACAUGCAAGUCG
rnacentral:rRNA from 1 species